GUGGGUGGCUGGCGAUGCCGCCACCCGCCAUUCUCCUCUUGUCGUUGUUGCUCCGGGGCCGUUUAAAGCCCCGGUUUUUUUUG
rnacentral:ncRNA from 1 species